UAUUAUUCUUGCGCAGGCAUAGUAGCUGCAUUUGUUUAAAAAUGACUAUUUAUCUAUCUGUUCUUCUACUUAUAUGCCUGGUUAGACCUACUGGGAAAGUCGGUGGGGUUGGCGGCCGAACCCACUGGGAACUUUCUUGUAGUUCUCACCCCACUAUUUUUCAGAUCUAGAUCCGAGUGAGGCGGUUGAGGAUCGUGGCAAAGGCAUAGCGUCCUAGGUAGCUGACACCCGUGCAUUAGUGGCACUCUUAUGUCAUGUUUUGGUUAUGAUGAAAAGUGUAAUGAGAUAGAGAUGUAUAAAUGUAUUUUGGCAAAAGUGAAUGUAAAUUAAUAUAUGCUUGUAUUUGAUUUCAUGUAAUCAAGAUACAUGUAUGAAUG
rnacentral:lncRNA from 1 species